rnacentral:misc_RNA from 1 species
GGAAGGAUCAUUACCGAGUUAUCGGUCUAUGGUAUCGAAAUGACUCUAAAUAAGGUUUGACGGUAAAACGUCGAACCUAUACGUGGAUUAAAUUCAACUGAUACUUCUAGCCUGGGUGGUAGGCUGAAGAAUCAGACGUUUUCAAUCUGUUGUGACUAUGAUUUAUACUUGUGUCUUAUGGCACUUUAAAACAAAUAUUACAACUGCAAACGGUGGAUCACUCGGUUCGCAGGUCGAUGAAGAACGCAGCAAACUGCGUUAAGCGGUGUGAAUUGCAGGACACGCCGAGCACUUGAUUUUCGAACGCAUAUUGCACCCUCGAGUCUUUCUCGGGGGUUCGUCUGUCUGAGGGUCGGUAUAAUAAACUCAUGCUAAGAGUUGUUCGAAAGGUAACACUUUCGUCCGACUUCCAAGAGUACGACAAGACUAGACUAAGUCUUUGGUAACGCAACGUGUUGCUCAAUGACUAUGGCUAGCUCUAAUUGUAAGUCUAAUACACUUACCACUUGUCGACCUCAGAUCAGGCGAGGCUACCCGCUGAAUUUAAGCAUAUAAUUAAGCGGAGGAAAAGAAACCAAAAGGGAUUCCCUGAGUAACGGCGAGCGAAACGGGAACAGCUCAGCGCCAAGUCCCUUCGCGUUGAAAGGCGUAAGGGAGAUGCGGCGUGAAAGGUUCAGUGCUGUUGGUAUUACGUAGCACCGCAAGUCCCUCUGACAAGGGCCUUUACCAUAGUGGGUGCUAGUCCCAUAGCGGUUGCUCGUUUUAUCUGCUAACUGAAUCUUGCUAGAGUCAGGUUGCUUGAGAGUGCAACCUAAAGUAGCUGGUAAACUCCAGCUAAGGCUAAAUAUGACUGCGAGACCGAUAGCAAACAAGUACCAUGAGGGAAAGUUGCAAAGAACUUUGAAGAGAGAGUUCAAAAGGACGUGAAACCGUUGGUAGGUAAACAGGUGGAACCACGAAGUGUGGCCGAGGCGGGGAUUCAACUUUGUAGUGUGCAUAGUGCUGUUGUAUCAGGCUCUCGUCAGAGGGUUGAUCGGUGGUACUUGUGUGCUCUGCGUGGUGCAUUUCCUCAUGUCUCGUGCGAAAGCCAUGACCAGUUAGAUGACUAGGGCGUCCGUAUGCGACAGUAUCGUACAAAGGUACCUGGCUUGCGAUUUAUCGCUUGUCAGCGUUAUAGAGUACGGUCGGUACAGCCUUCAGUGGACUGACUGGAUUACAAAUUCUCCUUCGGGAGUUUGCAAGCAAAGUGGCAGGCAUGCUGGGGUCGGAGGCUGGUUGGCAUUGCGUAUGUUUGUGUACUUUGUGCUCAAACUGCGUAGUGUCGAUUAGUCUAUGCUCGGCUCUCGUUAUGUCGGUCAUGUGCAAUCGAUGGCUAGUAGGUCGGUACCCACCUGACCCGUCUUGAAACACGGACCAAGGAGUCUAACAUGCCUGCGAGUCACACAGUCUUGAAUAGGCUUGUGAGGCGUAAUGAAAGUGAAGGUUGUGAUCGGUGGACGCUCCGGUGUUUAUCGAGCAGCAACGACCCGCCUGUUUCGCUUUUCGACGAUAUGGCGGAGUUAUAGCGUGCACGUUGGUACCCGAAAGAUGGUGAACUAUGCCUGGGCAAGACGAAGCCAGAGGAAACUCUGGUGGAGGUCUGUAGCGAUUCUGACGUGCAAAUCGAUCGUCAGACCUGGGUAUAGGGGCGAAAGACUAAUCGAACCAUCUAGUAGCUGGUUCCUAC